CUACGGGACGCAGCAGUGAGGAAUAUUGGGCAAUGGGCGAAAGCCUGACCCAGCCAUGCCGCGUGAAGGAUGACUGCCCUAUGGGUUGUAAACUUCUUUUGUAAGGGAAGAAUGAUUCCUACGUGUAGGAAUGUGACGGUACCUUAUGAAUAAGCACCGGCUAACUCCGUGCCAGCAGCCGCGGUAAUACGGAGGGUGCAAGCGUUAUCCGGAUUUAUUGGGUUUAAAGGGUGCGUAGGCGGAAUUUUAAGUCAGUGGUGAAAUCCUGCAGCUCAACUGUAGAACUGCCAUUGAUACUGAUCUUCUUGAAUUUAGUUGAGGUGGGCGGAACGUGUAAUGUAGCGGUGAAAUGCUUAGAUAUUACACAGAACACCGAUUGCGAAGGCAGCUCACUAAACUAACAUUGACGCUGAGGCACGAAAGCGUGGGUAGCGAACAGGAUUAGAUACCCCUGUACUC
rnacentral:rRNA from 1 species